CUCGGACUAAGCAUUCAUAGAGAUAGAAUGCAUUUAUAAAGAGAGCCAAUCAAUGGCAGCGCUUGGACUGAGCAUUCAAAUAGUCAGAAUGCCUUUAUAAAGGGAGCCAACCAAUCACAGCGCUCAGACUAAGCAUCCAUAGAGAUAUAAUGCCCUGAUACAGAGAGCCAACCAAUCACAGCACUCGGACUGAGAAUUCAUAGAGAUAGAAUGCCUUUAUAAAUAGAGCCAACUAAUCACAGCGCUAGGACUGACCAUUCAUAGAGAUAUAAUGCCUUUAUAAAGAGAGCCAACCA